GACAGAAGAGGAGAUUUGGUUGAAUCUUGAGACAAAUUUCAUUGUGGGAAUAAUAAUAAUAAAGCCAUAGCAGCAACAGCAGCAGUAGCAGCAACAGCAGCAGUAGCAGCAGCAGCAGCAGCAGCAACAG
rnacentral:miRNA from 1 species